GUGCUUGCUUUGACAGCACAUUUAUUAAAAUUGGAACGAUGCAGAGAAGAUUAGCAUGGCCGCUGUACAAAGAUGACAUGCAAAUUCAUGAAGUGUUCCAUAUUUUU